ACACAUGCAAGUCGAACGGUGAACACGGAGCUUGCUCUGUGGGAUCAGUGGCGAACGGGUGAGUAACACGUGAGCAACCUGCCCCUGACUCUGGGAUAAGCGCUGGAAACGGCGUCUAAUACUGGAUAUGUGACGUGACCGCAUGGUCUGCGUCUGGAAAGAAUUUCGGUUGGGGAUGGGCUCGCGGCCUAUCAGCUUGUUGGUGAGGUAAUGGCUCACCAAGGCGUCGACGGGUAGCCGGCCUGAGAGGGUGACCGGCCACACUGGGACUGAGACACGGCCCAGACUCCUACGGGAGGCAGCAGUGGGGAAUAUUGCACAAUGGGCGCAAGCCUGAUGCAGCAACGCCGCGUGAGGGACGACGGCCUUCGGGUUGUAAACCUCUUUUAGCAGGGAAGAAGCGAAAGUGACGGUACCUGCAGAAAAAGCGCCGGCUAACUACGUGCCAGCAGCCGCGGUAAUACGUAGGGCGCAAGCGUUAUCCGGAAUUAUUGGGCGUAAAGAGCUCGUAGGCGGUUUGUCGCGUCUGCUGUGAAAUCCGGAGGCUCAACCUCCGGCCUGCAGUGGGUACGGGCAGACUAGAGUGCGGUAGGGGAGAUUGGAAUUCCUGGUGUAGCGGUGGAAUGCGCAGAUAUCAGGAGGAACACCGAUGGCGAAGGCAGAUCUCUGGGCCGUAACUGACGCUGAGGAGCGAAAGGGUGGGGAGCAAACAGGCUUAGAUACCCUGGUAGUCCACCCCGUAAA
rnacentral:rRNA from 1 species